CUCUGUCUCAAAAAAAAAAUAAAAUAAAAUGAAUAAAAGUUGUAAUAUUUUCUUUCUACCUUCCUGCUUUAGAAGCUCUCAAGAUGAAGAGGGCAGUCUAGUGGACCACAGAAUGGGUCAUCUUUGGGAAGGUGUGACAAGACACCUCUCUGGGAGGGAUGGUGUGAGAAGCUCAGUGAAGGCACUGAGUGCUGCAUGCCUUUCCUCCUCCCCACUUCUCUGUUGCAGGCCUCCAGUGAGCAGGGCCCCACCACAGCCAGAGAAACUCCAGACAAACAAUGUAGGCAAGAAAAAGAGACCUAUAGAGGACCUUGUGUUGGAGCUCAUUUUUGGUUAUCGAGGCAGAGACUGUAGGAAUAAUGUUCACUAUUUAAAUGAUGGUGAUGAUAUAAUUUAUCACACUGCAUCUGUUGGAAUUCUGCACAAUGUUGCUACAGGUUCUCAGAGUUUUUAUCAGGAACAUAAUGAUGAUAUUCUGUGCCUCACAGUAAACCAGCACCCCAAAUUUAUCAACAUAGUGGCAACUGGCCAAGUAGGUGAUUCAGCAGACAUGUCAGCUACAGCUCCUUCUAUUCACAUCUGGGAUGCAAUGAACAAGCAGACUUUAUCUAUCCUAAGAUGCUACCAUU
rnacentral:sRNA from 1 species